UACAGAGGGUGCAAGCGUUGUUCGGAAUUAUUGGGCGUAAAGGGCGCGUAGGCGGUGCGGUAAGUCUGUAGUGAAAUCUCUGGGCUCAACUCAGAGUCUGCUGCAGAAACUGCCGUGCUUGAGUGUGGGAGAGGUGAGUGGAAUUCCCAGUGUAGAGGUGAAAUUCGUAGAUAUUGGGAAGAACACCGGUGGCGAAGGCGGCUCACUGGCUCAUUACUGACGCUCAGGCGCGAUAGCGUGGGGAUCAAACAGG
rnacentral:rRNA from 1 species